rnacentral:rRNA from 1 species
CCUGGUUGAUUCUGCCAGUAGUCAUAUGCUUGUCUUAAAGAUUAAGCCAUGCAUGUCUAAGUAUAAGCAAUUAUACAGCGAAACUGCGAAUGGCUCAUUAAAUCAGUUAUCGUUUAUUUGAUAGUACCUUACUACAUGGAUAACCGUGGUAAUUCUAGAGCUAAUACAUGCUAAAAACCCCGACUUCGGAAGGGGUGUAUUUAUUAGAUUAAAAACCAAUGCCCUUCGGGGCUCACUGGUGAUUCAUGAUAACUUCUCGAAUCGCACGGCCUUGCGCUGGCGAUGGUUCAUUCAAAUUUCUGCCCUAUCAACUUUCGACGGCUGGGUCUUGGCCAGCCGUGGUGACAACGGGUAACGGAGGGUUAGGGCUCGACCCCGGAGAAAACGCCUGAGAAACGGCGUUUACAUCCAAGGAAGGCAGCAGGCGCGCAAAUUACCCAAUGCCGACACGGCGAGGUAGUGACGAGAAAUACUGAUACAGGGCUCUUUUGGGUCUUGUAAUUGGAAUGAGUACAAUUUAAAUCUCUUAACGAGGAACAAUUGGAGGGCAAGUCUGGUGCCAGCAGCCGCGGUAAUUCCAGCUCCAAUAGCGUAUAUUAAAGUUGUUGCAGUUAAAAAGCUCGUAGUUGAACCUUGGGCCUGGCUGGCCGGUCCGCCUCACCGCGUGCACUGGUCCGGCCGGGCCUUUCCCUCUGGGGAACCGCAUGCCCUUCACUGGGCGUGCCGGGGAACCAGGACUUUUACUUUGAAAAAAUUAGAGUGUUCAAAGCAGGCCUAUGCUCGAAUACAUUAGCAUGGAAUAAUAGAAUAGGACGCGUGGUUCUAUUUUGUUGGUUUCUAGGACCGCCGUAAUGAUUAAUAGGGACAGUCGGGGGCAUCAGUAUUCAAUUGUCAGAGGUGAAAUUCUUGGAUUUAUUGAAGACUAACUACUGCGAAAGCAUUUGCCAAGGAUGUUUUCAUUAAUCAGGAACGAAAGUUAGGGGAUCGAAGACGAUCAGAUACCGUCGUAGUCUUAACCAUAAACUAUGCCGACUAGGGAUCGGACGGUGUUAUUUUUUGACCCGUUCGGCACCUUACACGAAAGUACAAGUUUCUGGGUUCUGGGGGGAGUAUGGUCGCAAGGCUGAAACUUAAAGAAAUUGACGGAAGGGCACCACCAGGGGUGGAGCCUGCGGCUUAAUUUGACUCAACACGGGGAAACUCACCAGGUCCAGACAUGAAAAGGAUUGACAGAUUGAGAGCUCUUUCUUGAUUUUAUGGGUGGUGGUGCAUGGCCGUUCUUAGUUGGUGGAGUGAUUUGUCUGCUUAAUUGCGAUAACGAACGAGACCUUAACCUGCUAAAUAGCCCGCGUCGCUUUGGCG